UGGCCGUGGCGCGGCCGCGGCGCAUGGUGGACUCGUCGACCACGUCGUCGUGCAGCAAGGUGGCGGUGUGGAUCAGUUCCACCACGGCCGCC
rnacentral:tRNA from 1 species